GCGUUAGUAGUGCAAUUGGUUAAGCACGCGUUCCCGGAUAGAGUGAGAUGCGGGUUCGAGUCCCGCUGAGGGACA